GCCAACAAUAAGACAUACUACAAUAUUCUCGGUAAAAAUUCAACUAAUUUUUUUAAAAAUUAAAAUAGUGAAGAAUACACUAAUAUUUGGAUUUCUAGUAGAGGAAUUAUUAGGUGCACCCGGUGUACAUACACCUUCUCUAACAAUCAUAUGGGACCCACUACCUAUAUAAUAGGAAAGACACACCUUCUGUGAGAGAAGGAGCACUAUUUUUUAGUGCUCCGGGUAUACCUAAUAAUUAGC
rnacentral:misc_RNA from 1 species